rnacentral:rRNA from 1 species
CCUACGGGUGGCAGCAGUGGGGAAUAUUGGACAAUGGGGGGAACCCUGAUCCAGCCAUGCCGCGUGUGUGAAGAAGGCCCUCGGGUUGUAAAGCACUUUCAGUGAGGAAGAACGCCUGGUGGUUAAUACCCAUCAGGAAAGACAUCACUCACAGAAGAAGCACCGGCUAACUCCGUGCCAGCAGCCGCGGUAAUACGGAGGGUGCGAGCGUUAAUCGGAAUUACUGGGCGUAAAGCGCGCGUAGGUGGCUUGAUAAGCCGGUUGUGAAAGCCCCGGGCUCAACCUGGGAACGGCAUCCGGAACUGUCAAGCUAGAGUGCAGGAGAGGAAGGUAGAAUUCCCGGUGUAGCGGUGAAAUGCGUAGAGAUCGGGAGGAAUACCAGUGGCGAAGGUGGCCUUCUGGACUGACACUGACACUGAGGUGCGAAAGCGUGGGUAGCAAACAGGAUUAGAUACCCCGGUAGUC